CGGGGGACAGGGUGACAGGUGGUGCAUGGUUGUCGUCAGCUCGUGUCGUGAGAUGUUGGGUUAAGUCCCGCAACGAGCGCAACCCUCGACCUUAGUUGCCAGCAUUCAGUUGGGCACUCUAAGGUGACUGCCGGCUAAAAGUCGGAGGAAGUGGGAUGACGUCAAGUCAUCAUGCCCCUUAUGUCCUGGGCUGCACACGUGCUACAAUGGCCGGUACAAUGGGCUGCGAUGCCGCGAGGCGGAGCGAAUCCCAUAAAACCGGUCCCAGUUCGGAUCGAAGGCUGCAACUCGCCUUCGUGAAGUCGGAGUUGCUAGUAAUCGCGGAUCAGCAUGCCGCGGUGAAUACGUUCCCGGGCCUU
rnacentral:rRNA from 1 species